GGUGCUGCGCCGGGAAUGAACGGAUAACUCUGAUGACGUUAAUUACGAGAACUAACAUCUCCUGCACCU
rnacentral:tRNA from 1 species